rfam:[Clostridium] celerecrescens strain 152B rep_c83, whole genome shotgun sequence.
UCUGGUGCCGAUGCGCUUAGGGGAGACACCCGUUCCCAUCCCGAACACGAUGGUUAAGACUUAAGCGGCCGAUGGUACUAUGCUGGAGACGGCAUGGGAGAGCAGGUGGGUGCCAGAU